rnacentral:tRNA from 1 species
GGUCCGUUGGUCAAGCGGCUAAGACGCUGCCCUCUCACGGCAGAAACAGGGGUUCGAUUCCCCUACGGACUACUA